AGUAUAGCGGGAUCAGGUGGUGCUGGCCCGGCGCCAAAGGCGUUGGGCAGCUAAGAGGGAACACGGACGUUGACCCCGUCAACUGCAUGCCGUGGCUGUACCCGCAACUGUGAUUGGGGACGCGUUUCAACAAGGCCCACUGGACCGCUAAGUUUGGUCUGGGAAGGGUGAAACGGCGGAUGAUCCAAAAGCCAGGAGACCUGCCACCGCGUCGCCCAUCUG
rnacentral:ncRNA from 2 species